UUCAUGAGGGAUCCACUCCCAUCAGCCAAUACCUCCCGCUAGGCUCUACGUCCAUCAGUGGAGGUCACAUUUCAACUGAGAUUUGGAGGGGACCCAUAUCCAAACUAUAUCAAUUUCCAUUUUUCAUCAAAAGCCCACCUCUCUAACAAGAGCUCCGAGACAUUUCCUUUCCCGUUAAACUUGGAGGAAUUGGGAAUGACAAAGAAAUUAAUCAAAAGAAGAAUUAAUCUCUCCAAUCAGCCUUGGCAUUUUCUAUCUUUGAUGGUUUUUUUUUUUUUCUUGAGUGUCUUGAUCUUCAUAAUAAGCUAUUUGUAACUACUUCUUUCACUAUAUUGUGAGCCUCUGGAGGGCAAGGGCUGGGUCUUACACAUCUUUGAACAAUUUUAAAGCUGCUAAACAGGGCUCUGCACAUAAUGAGAAUUCAACAUAUGCUUUGUUGAAUCUAAUUUUUUCAGAAAGAGUCAACAUCUAUUCUUAAGAUAGUCCACACCAGGCUGACUGUGUUAUUUGUGAAUCCAUUGGCCAGCGUCAUUUCCUCCGAAGUGCAGCAUUUUUGAUAGAACCAGAGGCUCAUGACUGACCUUCAGAAAGACGUUUUCUAUAUCACCAUCAGAGUGGUACAGGUUUUAUUAGACUUCUGUAAUCCAGGUCUCGUUUCUCAGGCCGCUCUGAAGCAUAUCACACUUUAUCUAAGAGGGUCACAGUUAGUGAAGGGAGGUAUUGGACUUUGCAAUUUGCGUUGCUGAAGAACUUAGGAAAUGGCUUAAUUUUUUUUCCUUCUGGCUUUGAUAGAUUGACUUUGCCUCUUUUACUGCAUGCAUAGUGCCAUCUUGUGGCCAGAAAGCAUAUAACACUCAUAGUUACGCCACAGCGCUUCUGCUGUUCCAUUUGAUUUCUGUAGUCCAGAGGAUUUCCAAAUGUAGAAACUUGCAGAUUAUUACUAGCCAAGGUCAUCACUGGCCAAGCCCAUCUAGAAGCCAGAGGCAGCAAGCAGUGCCCGUUGAAACAUCCGUAAAAGGUGACGUUUGGUUAGCAAUGUCCUAUUGCAGACUUUUUGAUGUGGUGGUGAUUGGAAUAUGUUCUGUAGCGAUCAGCCGGAAUUCGCUGAUUGGAGCGGGAACUGAAGUCACAGGAAUAAAACAGUCUUCAUGCUUUAGGAUGUCCGGAUGCGCCAGUGCUGUGAAAUCUUCAUUCAUGAGACAUUCCAGUUUGCCAGCAGUGUAGACUAGAAUAUGCUACACCCCCCAAAAUAUUUUUUUAGUAUAAGGGUUAUUUUGAGAAACAACAGACGCAGGAAAAGCUCUGAAGACAGAAUGCAAACUUCAGCUAGCGUCUUGAAUUUAAGUCCCAAGUCAUCUAAGAAGCGGUCAUCUUGCUCUCCUUCAAUAAAACUGCAACAGCCAAUAGAAGCAUUCAGAGAUUCGGUUUCUUCCUGAGAAUAAACCAGAAGGCAAUCUUUGGCUAUGUGAUUUUCAUCUUCCUCAGUGUUAUAUAUUCUCUGUCUCUCCUGCAGGGCUCAUCCCUACCAAGUCUGCUACUGCAGGGAUAAAACUUUCUGACCCACUGACAUCUGUCUUGAUCACGUAACUUGCUUUGGUCAAUGAAAUGUGAGUAUAAAAAGCUGGAGGCUUUAAAAGCCAUUGCCUGGUUCUGCCUUGCUCUUUUCUCUGGGCCACAAGGAUGGCAGCUUCCCAGGUCAGAUCUGCUCUCUCAAAGCAUCUUGAAACGAAGACAUCAUGAAGCAGAGCAGAGCUGAGCUGACUGGCAGAAACAUAACUCUGGAUAUAACCCAAAGAGGAAACAAGGCCCCAAAAGUCACAUAGGGUCUCAGCUCUUUUACUCUGUGUGCACCAGUGGCAUUUCAACCUUCCUGUGCAGUUUGAUACCUUCAUCUAUAGUUAUAGAAUUUUUAAUUUUGUUUUUACCUGGAUCCAUGGCCACCCAAAAUAAAGACUAU